rnacentral:rRNA from 1 species
GACGUAGGGUCCAAGCGUUGUCCGGAAUUAUUGGGCGUAAAGAGCGUGUAGGCGGCCAGAUAAGUCCGCUGUGAAAUCUCGAGGCUCAACUUCGAGCUGUCGGUGGAAACUAUCUGGCUAGAGUCCGGAAGAGGAGAAUGGAAUUCCUGGUGUAGCGGUGAAAUGCGCAGAUAUCAGGAAGAACACCCGUGGCGAAGGCGGUUCUCUGGGACGGUACUGACGCUGAGGCGCGAAAGCGUGGGGAGCGAACAGG